rnacentral:lncRNA from 10 species
CAACCCUUAGGUAAGAAUGAGGGGUUGAAUGAGACCCUUCAUUCUUACCUAAGUUAAUGAGUCACAAUGGAGGCGUGGAGCCCCUGGGAGGAGGGGCACGCAAAACACCCAUUUAUAAAUGACAGAGCUGGGAUAAGAACCCAUUUCUCUCCCACAGUAAAGCCUAGACAUGCCCUUUCCAUGUUACCACACUUGGUCCCUAGAGCUGAAGAGGACACAAGUCAAGAGCAUUAAUUGGGUCCUCUUUCUGAAACUCCCUCCAUUUAUUGCAGUGGAACCUCCUGAGGAACAGAUUUGUGCUUGAGCUCCGGCAACAUGAGGCAGCUGAGGGACCAAAGGAGGCUGGACCCCUG